AGUGAACGCUGGCGGUAGGCCUAACACAUGCAAGUCGAACGGCAGCACAGUAAGAUCUUGCUGUUACGGGUGGCGAGUGGCUUACGUGUGAGGUAUACAUCGUAAUCUACUUUUUCGUGUAGGAUAACGUAGGUAAACUUACUCUAAUACCGCAUACCACCUACGAUUGAAAGCAGUGGAUCUUCUCACCUUGCGGGGUUGAAUUAGCCGAUGUCGGAUUAGCUAGUUGGCGGGGUAAAGGCCCACCAAGUCGCCGAUCCGCAGCUGGUCUGAGAGGAUGAUAAGCCACACUGGAACGGAGACAGGGUCAAGACGACUGAGGGAGGGAGCAGUGGGGAAUAUGGGACAAUGGGGGGAAGCCUGAUACAGCCAUACCGAGUGGGUGAAGAAGGCGCUGGGGUUGUAAAGACCUUUUGUUGGGAAAGAAAAGCAGCAGGUUAAUACGCAGCUGUUGUGACGGUAACCAAAGAAUAAGCACCGGCUAACUUCGUG
rnacentral:rRNA from 1 species